rfam:Triticum aestivum genome assembly, contig: Triticum_aestivum_CS42_TGACv1_scaffold_221972_3B
CACAUAUCCCAUCCGUCCAGAAAUAUUUGUCAUCAAAAUGGAUAAAAGAGGAUGUAUCAAGACGUAUUUUAGUUCUAAAUACAUCUCUUUUCAUCCACUUUGAUGAUAAGUAUUUUCGAACGGAGGGAGUACUAA